rfam:Fusobacterium mortiferum ATCC 9817 genomic scaffold supercont2.8, whole genome shotgun sequence.
GUUGAUUGCUAGGGGAGCCGUUAGGCUGAGAAAGAGAAAUCUUGACCCUUAGAACCUGAUAUGGAUAAUACCAGCGUAGGGAAGCAAUAUGUUUACUAG